CUGAAUUUCCUAGGGGGCGUCAAAGCUUACCGAAGAAUAUCAAACUCCGAAUGCCGUGUAGAUGUUGUAUGGGAGUCAGACUGUACGAGAUAAGUUGGACAGUCAAAAGGGAAAGAGCCCAGACCUGCAGCUAAGGCCCCAAAAUGUGUGUUAAGUGGAAAAGGAUGUGGGAUUUCAAAGACAACUAGGAUGUUGGCUUAGAAGCAGCCAUACAUUUAAAGAGUGCGUAACAGCUCACUAGUCGAGAAAACCUGCGCCGAAAAUUUAACGGGGCUAAAACACGACACCGAAGCUACGGAUUUCCUACUAGGUAGGAAGUGGUAGAGGAGCAUCCUGCAAGGACGAAGCCAAAGUGAGAACGAUGGUGGACGAAACAGGAGAGAGAAUGCCGGAAUGAGUAGCGAGAUAGAAGUAAGAAACUUCUAGGCCGAAUAUCUAAGGUUUCCUGGGUAAAGCUAAUCUUCCCAGGGUUAGUCGGGGCCUAAGGCGAGGACGAAAGUCGUAGUCGAUGGAUAACAGGUUGAUAUUCCUGUACUACGUAUCAUCAGAACUGUGGGGACGCAGGAGGAUAGGAAAACCGGGGAAUGGAAAAACCCGGCCAAGUACAAAGUCAAGGGAGAUAGGCAAAUCCGUCUCUUGAUGAUGAAGUGCGAUGGGGACUGAACAAAAGUAGGGAAGUUUCCGAAUCCACACUGUCGAGAAAAGCCGCUAUUGUGUGAUACGUACCCGUACCGUAAACCGACACAGGUAGAUGAGGAGAAAAUCCACAGGCCGACGGGAGAAGUGUUGUUAAGGAACUCGGCAAAAUGACCCCGUAACUUAGGGAGAAGGGGAGCCACGCAAGUGGCCGCAGAAAAGAGGCUCAAGCGACUGUUUAGCAAAAACACAGGUCUCUGCGAAACCGAAAGGUGAAGUAUAGGGGCUGACACCUGCCCGGUGCUGGAAGGUUAAAAGGAGAGGUUCGACGUAAGUCAAAGCUUUGAAUUCAAGCCCCAGUAAACGGCGGCCGUAACUAUAACGGUCCUAAGGUAGCGAAAUUCCUUGUCAGGUAAGUUCUGACCCGCACGAAAGGUGUAACGAUUUGAGCACUGUCUCGACAACACGCCCGGUGAAAUUGAAGAACCAGUGAAGAUACUGGUUACCCGCAACAGGACGGAAAGACCCCAUGGAGCUUUACUGCAGCUUAAUAUUGGGAUUCGGUAUUGUAUGUACAGGAUAGGAGGGAGACUAAGAAGCUAGCACGCCAGUGUUGGUGGAGUCGAUGGUGGGAUACCUCUCUUAUAAUACUGAAUUUCUAACCUACUUCCGUGAUCCGGAAGAGGGACAUUGUUAGGCGGGCAGUUUGACUGGGGCGGUCGCCUCCGAAAGAGUAACGGAGGCGCUCAAAGGUCUUCUCAGAAUGAUUGGAAACCAUUCAAAGAGUGUAAAGGCAAAAGAAGGCUUGACUGCGAGAGUGACAACUCGAGCAGGUACGAAAGUAGGACUUAGUGAUCCGGUGGUAACAAGUGGGAGUGCCAUCGCUUAACGGAUAAAAGCUACCCUGGGGAUAACAGGCUUAUCUCCCCCAAGAGUUCACAU
rnacentral:rRNA from 1 species